AGUGAACGCUGGCGGUAGGCCUAACACAUGCAAGUCGAACGGCAGCACAGUAAGAGCUUGCUCUUACGGGUGGCGAGUGGCGGACGGGUGAGGAAUACAUCGGAAUCUACUUUUUCGUGGGGGAUAACGUAGGGAAACUUACGCUAAUACCGCAUACGACCUACGGGUGAAAGCAGGGGAUCUUCGGACCUUGCGCGAUUGAAUGAGCCGAUGUCGGAUUAGCUAGUUGGCGGGGUAAAGGCCCACCAAGGCGACGAUCCGUAGCUGGUCUGAGAGGAUGAUCAGCACCACUGGAACUUAGACACGGUCCAGACUCCUACGGGAGGCAGCAGUGGGGAAUAUUGGACAAUGGGCGCAAGCCUGAUCCAGCCAUACCGCGUGGGUGAGGAAGGCCUUCGGGUUGUAAAGCCCUUUUGUUGGGAAAGAAAAGCAGCAGGUUAAUACCCCGCUGUUCUGACGGUACCCAAAGAAUAAGCACCGGCUAACUUCGUGC
rnacentral:rRNA from 1 species